rfam:Schistosoma mansoni strain Puerto Rico chromosome 6, complete genome
ACACUGGUGAGGAGUCCCACAAUAGGACGAAACGGCCGUCCAGUGC